AGAUCCAUCUAAACAUGCUUGAAAAUACACAGCGUAAACCAUCUCCCUUGUUACCUUGGAAAGCAGUAAGGAUUCUAUGCAGGUUUGGCUAAGGAGAUAUUUAAGAAAAUUUUUUUCCAUACUAAAUGCGUUCAUGUGAAAUACAGAGAGCAUCUUCUCAUUUCUAUAAAUGGGAUCUGACAGGAGAAGCUCCCAAAUAUAAGAAGUGUUUCUUCCACUGCAUUCAAUGGAAAAUGGAGCACGCUAAACAGUGCUAGUGAAACAGACAUUCGUGUGCACACGCGUGUGCUGUGUGUGCACAUGUGUGUAGUAUUCCACCUGCAAAAUGGAAAUUCUUAGAACAUCUUUCAGUAUACAUUUCAAAUAAUAUCACAAUUAAUGACUGGAUUUCAGAAAAUGGCUUCUUUCCAGAUUAUUUCCACAUUCAGGGUAAAAAGUGUUCUUGAGCUUUCUGUGCCCUUGCAGGAGAUGAAGGCUUGCUUGUUCCCUAACUGCACAUUUUUGAGGGAAACCCACAUUUGCAUCUCACUGUUGGCACCCACAUCUGGGAUGCCCCACAGUUGCCCCGACAACCCAUCUCUCUUGGCUGCCCUCCUGGUGCUGACUGUGCCUCCGAGGUAUGACCCCGCUCCAGCUGGUGAGUCUGUGGAGCAGCUGCUCAGUGGCUUCUGAGCAGAGUCCGGCCUUCUCCAUACAGAUGACUGCUCUUCCUGGAGCCCGUGGCAGGUGGGGCUGCAGUGGCUGACCCAGGGCCAGCUGAGAGUGAGAGCCAGCAUGCUCAGAUGCAUGACGCUGGCUUGGGUCCCAACGGGGCUGACCCCAACCCAGUGUGGACAACCUCCUCUGGCUCUCCUCUGCCCUGGUCCCAGUGCAGCUAACACUGACCCAGCCAUGACAACCUCCUUUGCCCUGGUCCUUGUGUAGCUGACCCCAACCCAGUGUGGACAACCUCCUCUGGCUCUCCUCUGCCCUGGUCCCAGUGCAGCUGACCCUGACCCAGCCGGACCAAGCACCUCCGGCUCGUGUCCACUUGGCUCUACCCGUCCUUUGCUAUAACCAGGACUGGGCAGGUUUGCAAAGAUGUGCCACCAAAGGCUUCCCAAACAGAACACAAGGAGAAGGCAUCUCAAUAAGCCACCUCCCACGAUUUGGACCUGCUGAUUCUACGGCACUUCCAAGAAGUCUGUGAAAGAACAGAGCAAGUGUGACGGUCAGGGCUGUGAACCUCUGAGUGCUUCAGAUGUAAAAGUGUGGAAGACGUCGGGCUGUGAGUGUCACGCAGCAGAAAGGUGGAGGAGGCCUCUAAGGCUGGUGUUGGAGCAACAAGAAAACAUUCAUUGGAUGGUUUUGCAAAUCCCAAGGAAUCUCCUCAUCUUUGCCACCGGUGGGGUACCCUCCCCACUCAUCCUGAGGUACCUGGGAGCAGACAGACAUGAAACGCGUCAACUUUGUCACUGAGAACGGCAGCAUCAGCUCCUUUUUGGGAACAAAUCCUCUACAAUUCCAUAAAGAUACACCUCUUUACAGUCAUUUAUCAGUUAAAGUCAGAUGCAUAAAAAUGCAUAUCCUAAGAGGAAAUGAAUAUAA
rnacentral:lncRNA from 1 species